AUAGCUUUGGUCCUGGGCUUACCGUUAUUUUUUAUCAAGAUUAUACAUGCAAGCCUCAACAAUCCAGUGAAAAUGCCCAAAACCCCUUAAAAGAUAAAAUGGAGCAGGUAUCAGGCACUACAUUAAGCCCAUGACACCUAGUUACGCCACACCCCCACGGGUCCACCAGCAGUAAUAAACAUUGGGCCAUAAGUGAAAACUUGACCCAACUAUGAUAAUUUAGGGCUGGUCAAUUUCGUGCCAGCCACCGCGGUUAUACGAAAGGCCCAAAAAACGACAAACCGGCGUAAAAUGUGACUAGAGAUUUAUUAUAUUUUAAAUACCAAAAUCCAUCAACCCAGUUGUAGAACACUAAGGUAAUGGAGAAAACCAACACAGGUGUUCUUUAUAUUAUAUUCUUGACCACACGAAAGCUUAGAAACAAACUAGGAUUAGAUACCCUACUAUGCUAAGCCCUGAACAUUGAUUGCUAUUAAUACAAUACUUUCCGCCAGAGAACUACAAGUGAAAAACUUGAAGCUCAAAGGACUUGACGGUGUCCCAUAUCGA
rnacentral:rRNA from 1 species